rnacentral:lncRNA from 1 species
GUGGGAUAAGCCGACUUGCUGAGUCUUCCAGCCUCCAUCUUUCUCCCGUGCUGGAUGCUUCCUGCCCUUGGACAUCACAAUCCAGGUUCUUCCGCCUUUGGACUCUUGGACUUAUAUCAGUGGUUUGCCAGGGGCUCUCGGGCCUUGGGUCACAGACUGAAGGCUGCACUGUCGACUUUCCUGUUUUUGAGGUUUCUGGACUCAGACUGAGCCAUUACUGGCUUCCUUCUUCCCCAGCUUGCAGAUGGCGUAUGGUAGGACUUCACCUCGUGAUCGUUAGAUACAGGAUUUCGCGA